AUUGAACGCUGGCGGCAUGCUUUACACAUGCAAGUCGAACGGCAGCGCGGGCUUCGGCCUGGCGGCGAGUGGCGAACGGGUGAGUAAUGCAUCGGAACGUGCCCAGUAGUGGGGGAUAGCCCGGCGAAAGCCGGAUUAAUACCGCAUACGACCUGAGGGUGAAAGCGGGGGCCGGAAGGGCCCGCGCCAUUGGGGCGGCCGAUGUCGGAUUAGCUAGUUGGGGGGGUAAAGGCUUACCAAGGCGACGAUCCGUAGCUGGUCUGAGAGGACGACCAGCCACACUGGGACUGAGACACGGCCCAGACUCCUACGGGAGGCAGCAGUGGGGAAUUUUGGACAAUGGGGGCAACCCUGAUCCAGCCAUGCCGCGUGCGGGAAGAAGGCCUUCGGGUUGUAAACCGCUUUUGUUCGGGAAGAAAUCCUCUGGGCUAAUACCCCGGGGGGAUGACGGUACCGGAAGAAUAAGCACCGGCUAACUACGUG
rnacentral:rRNA from 1 species